GACGAACGCUGGCGGCGUGCUUAACACAUGCAAGUCGAACGGAAAGGCCCUGCUUUUGUGGGGUGCUCGAGUGGCGAACGGGUGAGUAACACGUGAGUAACCUGCCCUUGACUUUGGGAUAACUUCAGGAAGCUGGGGCUAAUACCGGAUAGGAGCUCCUGCUGCAUGGUGGGGGUUGGAAAGUUUCGGCGGUUGGGGAUGGACUCGCGGCUUAUCAGCUUGUUGGUGGGGUAGUGGCUUACCAAGGCUUUGACGGGUAGCCGGCCUGAGAGGGUGACCGGCCACAUUGGGACUGGGGUACGGCCCAGACUCCUACGGGAGGCAGCAGUGGGGAAUAUUGCACAAUGGGCGGAAGCCUGAUGCAGCAACGCCGCGUGCGGGAUGACGGCCUUCGGGUUGUAAACCGCUUUCGCCUGUGACGAAGCGUGAGUGACGGUAAUGGGUAAAGAAGCACCGGCUAACUACGUG
rnacentral:rRNA from 1 species